AAGAAGAGAUUUUCUAGCUCAAGUAAGAGUGAUAGUAGCAGAACAAACAAUAUUAGUGGAAGCACAUGCAGAAAUAAAAGUAGUGGCAGCAGUUCUAGCAGCAUCACUAAUAGAAAGAAACAAUGGCAACAUGUAUAUAUCUUGAUCUUUUAAUUUGCCAACUCAAACAACUAUUGAUAUUUCUUCAGACCACUAAAGGAAUCCAACCAUCGUUUUGCAGGUUCAGGCGAACCCAAAUGAUACACAUAUGCAAGUAGAAAAGAACAAUGAAACUAUUAAUUUAUUCCUAAAAUCGUAUCUACAGAGUAUGCUUGAAAUAUAAAGCACGACCAUUUAAAAAUAUAACCAAACUUGUAACAUCAGAAAAAGAAAGUGUAGAAUGUAUCUCUUACAGUUGAAGUAGUGUCCAUUCCCAACUUGAGCAAUUUUUCCUUUUAAAACCCUGUUAAAUAAAAAUAAGGAGACCAUUAUAUUCCAAUUAAAUAAAUUACAAAUAUCCAAUAAUAUCAUGUAUUGAGAAUCUAAAAAUCACAAAAUAAGAACAGCGAAAAAAUGUAAACAAGUAGACCCACAUUUUAAGUAGCAAUCUGGUUGCAAAACUUUCAUAGCCGAGGAAGACCAGUUAGAAAGAUACUAUAAUGAAUUUACCAAGAAAACUGAAUAAAAAAAUAAUUACAGUAAUUUAUAUUUUUCGCUGAUGACUUUCUAUGAGCUGAAUUCAUAAGAAAUAAAAAUGGAUUUCGACCAAAUAAUGCCCACAAGGACCAAUUGCAAUAUCAAGGCUCAAUCUGCAGUCUGCGUUUCUAAUGGGGCAAAGAGAAGGAUACCAUACCAUAAUUGCAAAAGAACCUGUUGCAUGUGAUAGAAAAAGCCUCAAAUCACAUACCAUCCAAGGUUUUCAAGCCAACAUAUUGUCUGAUUGUGUCCAUGCCCAAAUAAAAAAAUCAGCAACUUAAGCAAGUCCAUUUCUCAAUUUCUCCGUAGCGAGAAAAUUGAAGCAACCGAUAACAUUUAAAUAGAACAGGAAAAGCAAAUAACACAAAAAAUUAAGUAGAAAAUACUGAAAAAAGGGAAAGAGGUAGAAGAAGCACUCAAGAGAGAAAGAGAAGGUGAAGAAGAAAGAAAAAUAAGAAGACAAAGGGUCUGGCCACAAUCAACACGUGAAAACCAGAGAAAGUUCAAAAGAAGUGAAGAAUGUAGUGAUUGUAAAAUUUGAGAAGAAGAUUAAAUCAAGAUUGAGGGUUUUCCUGAAAAUGAUGAGAAGAUGAAUCAAUAUGAAUAGUCCUUCGAAAACUAGGGAGAGUUUUAGAGUUUGUGUCAGAUAUAUUAACAAGG
rnacentral:lncRNA from 1 species